GAAACUGGCAUCAGUUGAAACAGACCGUUGGCACUCGGUGACUACCACCUCUGUAUAUAUACCCGUGAUGUAUAUAUGUAACGCUUCUUCAUGGAUUCAACGAGAGAACAUUGACCAGUAGCUGUAAGGAUUUUCCUAUCCAGGACAUAUAACUUUAUGAUAAAAUCAUCACUGCACAAAUACAAAAGCUGUGAGUAGCCUGCCAGGUGAAUGUGCGUCUGUAGCUGACCUUAGGUGCGAUCUUGAUGCGCUUGCUGCAUCGCGGCCCU